rnacentral:rRNA from 1 species
UACGGAGGGUGCGAGCGUUAAUCGGAUUUACUGGGCGUAAAGGGCGCGUAGGUGGCUUGUUAAGUCGGGUGUGAAAGCCCCGGGCUUAACCUGGGAAUUGCAUUCGAUACUGCCUCGCUCGAGUACGGUAGAGGAGAGUGGAAUUCCCGGUGUAGCGGUGAAAUGCGUAGAUAUCGGGAGGAACAUCAGUGGCGAAGGCGGCUCUCUGGACCGAUGCUGACACUGAGGCGCGAAAGCGUGGGGAGCAAACAGG